CCACCAGGCCAGAGGCUCCGACUGGAGGCGCCGCGAACGCGGCCGGGGCAGGGGGCGGGGGGCUUCCUGCGAGGUGGAUGGGGAGUGGGAGGGGGAAGAGGCCAGGGGAGCAAGGCCUGCCCGUCCCCACUUCCUUAGUGAGCGGGGAAAUGCGGGAUCCCAUCUCACCCGUCCUGCUUUGGGUGGCAAGGCUGGGGCCCUUGGUUUCCCCAAGCAGGAAGGGGUUAAGGGCCCCGAGGGGGCAAGGGGAGUGGGCCGAGCUCCGAGGUGCGGCUCCGCCGGGCCUGGAAGCCAAGACCCGGGAAUGCUUGCGUCCUUUCUGCAGACGCAGCGAUCUUCCUGGCUGGAGUGGCCGAGCAGGGCCAGGGGCCACGGGACUGACGGCCUGGUGGGCGCGGGGCUGCUCCUGGCGCCCAAGCCCCUUGCCUGCCCGUCUGGGACUGAGGGGCCAAGCCUGUGAUGGGCGCCCGGGCGGAAGAGAUUGAACUGGGCAUCCUGGAUGUUACCUGGAAACUCUAUUUGGAUCCUGAAUAGUCUACUUGGUCAGCCCCUGCCCACAGGGAAGUUUCAGUCCAAUAGGAGAGAGGAACUGUUGAGAACUGAGCCACAUGGAUCCUUUUCCUCAGCACCUUCAAAGACGUGCCAUGACAGUGAGGAUGAACUGGGUCGGGAAAGAGCCUUGAGCGCUUCUGGAAAACCUCCUAACUCUUAACCCAGUGUGCACCAGCCCUCUGCAUUCUGCCCUCACUACCUGCCUGGUGGAUGAUUACCCGCUGACCUGGGACCUCAUCCUCAGCCUCUCCGGCUUUAUCCUGGAUCACCAAGAAUGGCAUUGGGACAGGAGAGAGAGAAGAGCUGCGCCUGCACUCGUACAGAACCAGAUCCUCGUGCUUUUUGAAUCGAGUUUCUUCUAUUGUUCCACGUUAUGGUUCCAAGUUAUGUUUGCGGCUCAUCUAAGAAGACGACGACUCUAAAGAGGAAAUAGUACUAAAGGCGGAUAUUCUUGGAUGCAAGUAUCCAUUUCCUGUGGCCAUAGUUCAAAAACCCCCCCUGCCCCCUGCCCCCUCCUCUUCCUCUCUUCCCUUUGCAGUUACUGCUAACAGCUAACAUGGAUUGAGUGCCCACUACCUGUGGGGGCACUUGUUCAGGGCGUCAUCAUGAGCUACAUCCUAUCACUGUCCCUGUCUCACAGAUGGUAAAAUGAAGGCUUAGAGGCUCAAGUAACCCAUUCAAGGUCAAACUUUCAGUGUACAGGGGAGCAGAUAGUGGGUUCUGAGCUAGCCUUGUCUGUCUCCAGGGGCUGUGCUCCCAGCUUCCAGGAUUCUGUGGGUUCUUCAGAGGGCAGUUUAGGUCCCAUCCCCUCCCUGAGGUUGUUCUAGAUUAUUCCAGCCUUUACUAGGGCCUGCUGUGCCUGAUCUCCUGCAGUAUUUACUGCCGCCCCCGCAACUCGCCAAUCAGUUGCUAGCUGCAACAUACCUGUGUGCAUGCACCUCGAUUCUCCAACUGGACAAAGCCUUGAGCAUUUGGAAGGGAAGGGACAUGUCUUGGGUAUUUCAUGCACUCCCACAGUUUGUGCACAGUUCCUAGAUAAAUACCUCAGAAUCAGAUGCCUCGUGUGUGUGUGUGUGUGUGUGUGUGUGUGUGUGUGUGUGUAUGUCUGUGUGUGUGUGUGUGUGUACAGAGUCCUGUGUGUGUGUGUAUGUGUGUGUGUGAGAGAAAGAGAGACAGAUGGGAGCUUUCAGACAGUGAUGCUGAUUCCUGCACUGCAAGUCAUUAGCAGCAGACACAAGAAGGACCCCCGUGCCACCCCCAGGGGCUCAACCCCCAUGACCACAAAGCUGCAGAGCAGAGGCUGGGGACUCAGGCUGCUCCUUUUCGCCCUGCCGCCAGCGGAUGUCAGACACUCAGGCACUCAGCUGCUCUAGGGUCCUGCUGCCCCCUCGCCCUUCACCUGAUCUAUCUGUGUGAGUUUCAGGAGACUCUGGGUAAUUAUGUGGUAAUUGAAUUUAGGGAAACAGACCCUAAGGAUAAUCCUUGAGUCAGUUCCAGGAGAUUCAUGGUUUAAUUUCCAUAUUUAGCUAGUGGUACAUAUUAUACGGUUCCUGACAGCACAGCAAUCACCUCGUCCUUAUGUAUUUAGUUUUGUUUUAACACGAGGUUCAGAAUAGUAGAGAUAUGGGCAUGUUACUCCAAAACACACACACACACACACACACACACACACACACAGAGUUAACAACAAGCAGAAGACACAGCACACACCCCUUUUUUAUUUUCAUAUGUGGUCUUAACGUAAGCUGUGUGGAUAAGGCCUGACACAGUAAAAACUCACCAAAUGCUGCCUGUAAUUAUUAUUUCACUUAAUUAUCUGCAAGUUCUCAAAUCUGGAUAGGGGCAGAGAGCUGGCAUUGCCAAUGGACGUCCAAGGUGCGUGUGCAUGCCUGCGUGAGUGUGCAUGUGCGUGUGCAUUUAGGGCUGGAGGAGAGUGGUGGCAAUGCAGCCCGUACUGGCAGGAACGCCUCUCGUUUGCUGCCUGAGCUAAGGAUCCUUUCAAACGCACCAUGGAGUUUAAUAUUGCCAACGACUGGCCCUGACUCCUUUCAACCUGCGCCAGGUGUAAUGUAAACCUCCCUGCAUUUCCUCCCUUUCCUGUUUCAUCUGAGAAAUUCUUCACUAAUUCCAUGGUAUCUGGUUUCUCAUUGUUUCUCUCUGCUUUAGAGAGCCCCUUGGGGUGGGCUUUAGAAAGGUGUGCUUAGCGCUCUCAGCCCUCCGAAAUGACACAGGCUCUUCCCUCACUACCACCACUAUUCUCCGGAACCUCUUACAAGGGACUUCGCUGGCUGUCAGGGCAAAAUAAGCCAUAACAUCCUGGGGAGAUGAGCAAAUGCCUGUCACAAAAUCAGAGGAUGGUCUUGGGUGGUCUGUAAAGCAGCAUCCAAACUGAGAAAACGGGACAGUCGUAUUCAGCUCCUUUGUAAUAUAACACUGAGGUUAUAGUAAUGUAACAGAAUAAUGGCGUGUCUUCCAUCCUUUGUUGAAGUAGUGCUCUUUGGGGUUGAAGACAAGGAGGAAUACAGCCGGAUGGAGGAGGCCUGGGCUGUUCCAGAUGCAAGCAGGAGACCAUCUAAUUUCCUCUGAUUCUCUAAAGGAGGUGGGAUUACAAAAUCAUGUGAAUGUUGGGGGGUGGGGAGAGAAGAACCUGGAAAGCAGAAUCCCUCCCAUGAACAACGGAAGUGAACAUCCUUAUAGCCAUUUCCUGCUUUGUGUUUUGUGCUCCCCACUCUCCUAUCAGUGCUGAGGGGAGAGAGGAGGCACUGGGCAGGGUGAAGGAGACUCAGGACUGGCCAGGUUCCUUUCAACCUUCAAUGCGUCUUCC